GAAACUAACCACCCUCGUCAGAUUUCCGAUGAAUUCGUAUCUCUCCUCCUCACCUUCAGCACCGGCCAUUAACGAAUUCCAUGAAUUCCGUCUUCAACCUUUACGUUAGCAAAGUCAAAUCUCCCAGUAUAAGCUAUCUCACUCCUCAUCCUAUAAAUUCAUGAAAAAUCCCAAUUAUUGAAUUCACAAUUCGCUCAACAAAUUCAAGAUAAAUUCGUUGCUCUCUCUGGUUUUUAAUUGGAGAAAUUCAAGCAUACUCUGGUUUCUUAAUUGCUGCUUCAUCCUCGGUGUUGCCGGAUAUAUUCGCCAGAUAGUUGGUAAUUUGGACGAUAGUUGGAAAGUGGUGAACGUCUGACUUCUUCUUCCGUGUUGUUACUACUGUAGGUUUCGCCGACCACACCGGUUCAAGGUUUCCUGUGAUUCUUUAGCGUUGUUCGUAGGUUCGUGCAUCAGUUCGUGCGUUGCUACACCGGUUCAAGGUUUCCUGCAAGUCUUUAGCGUUGUUCGUAGGUUCGUGCAUCGGUUCGUACGUUGCAUAUG